rnacentral:rRNA from 1 species
AUUGAACGCUGGCGGCAUGCUUUACACAUGCAAGUCGAACGGUAACAGGCCUUCGGGUGCUGACGAGUGGCGAACGGGUGAGUAAUGCAUCGGAACGUACCCAGAGGUGGGGGAUAACGCAGCGAAAGCUGUGCUAAUACCGCAUGUGAUCUGAGGAUGAAAGCGGGGGACCGCGCAGCAAUGUUUGGCCUCGCGCCUUUGGAGCGGCCGAUGUCGGAUUAGCUAGUUGGUGGGGUAAAGGCCUACCAAGGCGACGAUCCGUAGCUGGUCUGAGAGGACGACAGGCCACACUGGGAGUGAGACACGGCCCAGACUCCUACGGGAGGCAGCAGUGGGGAAUUUUGGACAAUGGGCGCAAGCAUGAUCCAGCAAUGCCGCGUGCGGGAAGAAGGCAUUCGGGUUGUAAACCGCUUUUGGCAGGAACGAAACGGUGUCCGCUAAUACCGGGCGCUAAUGACGGUACCUGCAGAAUAAGCACCGGCUAACUACGUG